GUGGACAGAGAUAAAGAUGGCGGAUUUGGACUUCAGUCCAUGGGAUGUUUUGUCAAUGCGAUCAUUUCUUAUUUAGAGAGAAGUACCGGUACAUGACAAGCGCAAAGAGGAACUGAUCCAGUUGUGCAACGCUGCACAACUAAUAGGCUUGCCAAAGGUACUCUCUAACGCUGGCCAUUCAGCCAGUCUCGAACAAUCUGUCACGCAAAAGCUGACAUUGGACGGCGGUUUGAUUACGCUACCCAACCCAACUUCUUUGUCUGCAGGAUGGGAAGCAGACGGAUCAAGUUUACCUGAUCUGCUACAAGCAGGUGUGGAAAAGUACUUUGAGAGAACAUCUGCAGCAUACAUUCAUGAUGAAAAUUUUUAAAGAACUUGUUUACGAGGAAAACAAGGAUGUCAACAUUACAACAGCAGGCAAGGAGGCUCUCCGUGACGGA